rnacentral:rRNA from 1 species
GGGGAAUAUUGGACAAUGGGCGCAAGCCUGAUCCAGCCAUGCCGCGUGGGUGAAGAAGGCCUUCGGGUUGUAAAGCCCUUUUGUCCGGAAAGAAAUCCUGUCGGUUAAUACCCGGCGGGGAUGACGGUACCGGAAGAAUAAGCACCGGCUAACUUCGUGCCAGCAGCCGCGGUAAUACGAAGGGUGCAAGCGUUACUCGGAAUUACUGGGCGUAAAGCGUGCGUAGGCGGUUCUUUAAGUCCGAUGUGAAAGCCCUGGGCUCAACCUGGGAACUGCAUUGGAUACUGGCGAGCUAGAGUGCGGUAGAGGAUGGUGGAAUUCCCGGUGUAGCGGUGAAAUGCGUAGAGAUCGGGAGGAACACCAGUGGCGAAGGCGGCCAUCUGGACCAGCACUGACGCUGAGGCACGAAAGCGUGGGGAGCAAACA